AGGAUACCAUGGUGGUAUGUGGCUCACAUGGUACCAUGGUGGUGACUCACAGGGUACCAUGUUGGUAUGUAACGCCCAGGGUACCAUUGUGGUAUGUGGCUCACAGGGUACAAUGCUGAUAUGUGACCCACAGGGUACCAUGGAGGUAUGUUGCUCACAGGGUGCUAUGGUGGUACUGUGUCGUGAUCCUGGUUCAUGGCCACAGUCUGUGUCAUGAUCCUGGCGUGUGGCCAGUCUGUGACGACCAAUAAUGGUACCUAAAAAGAAGCUUCAGGAGUGAUGCACGAUGCUUGUAAUUUUCGCUUUCUUGACAGAGGUUCCUUGUCACACCUGGCAAUAUGAAGACUGUGUUGGGCCUCGUGGCUGGACUCUGCCUCAUGCUGGUGAUGCUGCAGGCAGCUCCUGCGUCUGGCGCCGUGGAGCUGUUCGCGUUCGUGCCGGAUUCCCGGGUGGACAGAUCUACCAAGUGCUGUGCCUGCCCCUUUCGUCCGCCUCUCAUCUACUUCACAUCAUCAAGACAUCCUCCCCAAGCUGCCAGAGUCGGUUUCGGUGGACCGAGUCGCUGUUGUCCUUGUAGCAACGUUGGGUAGUGCUCUGAAUACGCCCUCUGUCCUCUGUCGUUCUCCAAAACGUUUACAAGCUUACUUAUUGCUAUCAUGUGGGUAGGAUAAGGUGAUCUUAUCCUCAGAUGAGGGACCAUGGCCAACAAUAUACAUAAUUAGCAAGUUAGUUCAUAGGUCUUGGAUGUCUACUGGAUAGCACCUGUGGCAACCAUCUCAUAGAUAGCACCUGUGGUGACCUUCUAGUAUCUCUAUACAGCUGUAUUCUCAGUGAUCACGUAUUCUAUUUUUGUGAAUAAAAUGGAUAAAAAUGUAA